AGAGGAGCUGGAGAAGCAAUAACAAACUAUUUUAAAGAAGUUUUCGUGUUCCCUCAUAAAGCUGGAUUAAUAAGGCUUUGGUAUAGCCCGUACGUUCGAACUUUUCAAACUGCACAAUGCAUAAUGGAUACGGCCUUUGAAUGGAUUACGGAUAUGAUGGAACAUCCGAUGUUAGCAGAACUCGAUUACGGUUUAUUUGAAGGAAAAAGCCGUGCUUGUGCAGAGAAACUCGGAUACACAAGAGAAGUAA